UGGACAUAUUAUUGUAUUCGACUGUAUUCACGGCGUGAAACGGGGGAUUACAUUGUUUUUAAACGGAAAGUGAAUCAAUUAACAUAAUAGACUCCU
rnacentral:pre_miRNA from 1 species